rnacentral:rRNA from 1 species
GACGAACGCUGGCGGCGUGCCUAACACAUGCAAGUCAACUUGACUGAAGGAGCAAUCUGACAGUAGAGUGGCGCAAGGGUGCGUAACGCGUAAGUAACUUGCCCAAGGUAAGGAAUAACGUCGAGAAAUCGGCGCUAAUACCUCAUAAUGCAGCGGAUCCGCAUGGAUAUGUUGUUAAAGGUUUACCGCCUUGGGAUAGGCUUGCGUCUGAUUAGCUAGUUGGUGUGGUAAACGGCACACCAAGGCUACGAUCAGUAACUGGUCUGAGAGGAUGAUCAGUCACACUGGAACUGAGACACGGUCCAGACUCCUACGGGAGGCAGCAGUGAGGAAUAUUGGGCAAUGCUCGAAGAGUGACCCAGCAACGCCGCGUGGAGGAUGAAGGUAUUCUAUAUCGUAAACUCCUGUGAGAGCAGACGAAAGACAGAUUAUUAAUCUGGAUGACUGUAUGCUCAGAGGAAG